GCCAAGGUUCUAUCAAUCAGUACUGAAGUUUCACUGGCUAUCAAGUAACAGCCAAUGUUGAGCACGGUUAGUACUUGGAUGGGUGACCGCUUGGGAACACCGUGUGAUGUUGUCU
rnacentral:rRNA from 1 species